CUGGGCUUUCCCAGUCCAGGCAGUACCUUCAGGAGGUGGCUACAGUGUAGAGAAAGGGGGCACUGGACUUGGAGUCAGAAGACCUGUG
rnacentral:miRNA from 1 species